UUUAAAAUGAGAGUUUGAUCCUGGCUCAGGACGAACGCUGGCGGCGUGCCUAAUACAUGCAAGUCGAACGCAAAGCUUUCACCGAAUGCUUGCAUUCACCGGAAGUUUUGA
rnacentral:rRNA from 1 species